UAAAAACGCAAAAAAUGUCCGAUAGCGAAAGCUUUGAAUCACAGACAGAUACAGAACAGCCAACAGAUAACGAGGACGUUGUUGAGCCACAAUCGUCUGUUGUACAGCCCUAUCAGUUCGAGCCAGUUGCUGAUCGUGACUAAUGACUAUGAGGAAGACGAAACAGGCGAAGACGGUCUUGAGGCGAGAUUUACGAAAACCGUAGCUGCUAGUUCAUGGUAAGUUUAACAAAGCAGUCUAAUAUCAAAGCGUUUCUCGAUUUAGCGUGUUUCGUUUAACAUGUGAAUUGAUUUUAGGUGCACAUUUGAGAUUCUUGAAUGUAUGGCCAAAUUUACGUACGAUGGAAAAGACGCUGAAUGUAUUAUAUAGCACUGGGGCUAUCCUGUUAUUACGCACCGAACACUCGAACAGUAUAUUACCGCAAAUCAACAAGCAGAACUCAAGACGGGCAAAAUGAGUAAGUCAAAUUAAUUUCACUAAAUUUUGGUCAGUUUUCAUCAGUAUUUUCUAUAUAUAUUCGCAAUAAUCGCAAAUGGUUGUAUUUUGUAAGAUUUUGAAACGUGUAUUUUAAUCUAUCUAUUGCUUUGAAACAGUGCAUUCGUGAAGAUAAUAACUCAGUCUCAGUGUUCGAUUGUUAAUGUUUAGAUACUUUGAUACCUUCGCGCAGUGGCGUAUAUCGGUGGAUAGUGAGAUGCAUGGAUAUUCGGCGUUAUUGGCCAUGCUCGGAUGGGAAAACUCUAGACCGCUUCCCGCAUGCCUGUAUAAUGAAAUCUGGAAGAGGUAUCCGUCUCAAAGCAACACUGGAUAAAAAAUAAUCACAGCAGAGAACUGAGAACGUGAUAAAAAGUGUACACUAUGUUACGUAAAUUGAUAUUGUAAAUUAUAAGUAUAAAUUAACCUAGUCAAAUAAAUGGUUCUUCACUCGGACUCUGUCGCGUGAGUAUGAUCGACUAAGAAGUAUAUAUAGAGCGCUCCGGCCUCGGU